rnacentral:rRNA from 1 species
UACGUAGGGCGCAAGCGUUGUCCGGAAUUAUUGGGCGUAAAGAGCUCGUAGGCGGUCUGUUGCGUCCGCUGUGAAAACUCGGGGCUUAACCCCGAGCCUGCAGUGGAUACGGGCAGACUAGAGGUAGGUAGGGGAGAAUGGAAUUCCCGGUGUAGCGGUGAAAUGCGCAGAUAUCGGGAGGAACACCGGUGGCGAAGGCGGUUCUCUGGGCAUGUCCUGACGCUGAGGAGCGAAAGUGUGGGGAGCGAACAGG